GAAUCCGGGAGAGACGGGAAACGUGGGCGGCUGCCGGCGCUCGGAUUCGGCCAUCGAACGAGGGAGAAGGGAAAACCUCUUUCCCCCUGGAGGAGGAAGCGGGCUCAGGAAGAGGUGUCCGGGGCCUGCGGGAACCAGGAGGACGGACGCGAAGGCUCGGAAACGGGAAGAGAGAAGUUAGCCGGCGCAACGAAGAGCGGCGGGAAAGCAUCCCGGUCCCUCCGGAGGCGGACGGAAGCCGUCCCUGGUUGAUUCUGGUCCGUGAAGAUGGAAACCGAUUCAGGAAAUGGAAAGAAGUAGAAGAAAGAGAAGAACGGAUUAUCCCAAAUUUCCCUGGAGUCUCUCAAUAAAUUUAACCGCAAUACCGUGAUUUUAUUAGAAAAAGAGAGGCACCGUCUGCACGAGGUUGAAGGACAAAAGGAGGAAAAUGGAAAAACAGAAGAGUCUUCUUUCAAAAGCCCCGAUCGGCUUGGAGGAGCCGAUUUAGACUCUCUGAGUGAUUAUCUGAGAGCUUCUCUUGUGCCGGCCAAGGUUCUAAUGAUCUAUAAAAACUCUUUCCAGUGGGCCGCGAAUGCGGCACUUAAGGCGUCGGCGAUAUAUUCGAAAGAAAAAUAAACCGUGGUGGGGGAAAGGAAAAAAAAAAACAAAAAACAAAAUAAAAUAAAACCACAGCCCACAUGGUUAGCUUUUGCAGCGGGCCACUCGGCUGACCUGCGAUUUUCACGACCCGGCCGGCGAUAAAGAGACCGGGCUGAGGGAGACGUUUGAGGAGGGAACACAAAAGGAUUCUACGGAAAGUCUUAAUUUUGCACUUUUUUGAAUACUUGUACAGGAGCUGUAAACAUUUUCUGGGGGAGGGAAGAAAGAUAUAUUUGUAGCAAGAAAAGAAACGACAGCACUAUAUUGAUGAUUUGAUGCCUUUUCAAAAAAAAAAUUUUUACAGGUGACUAACUUUUAAAGCUGAUGUUAAAUAUGAACAGAAA